GGGCCGGUAGCUUAGCCUGGUAGAGCGCUUGACUUUUAAUCAAGCGGUCGAGGGUUCAAAUCCCUUCCGGCCCG
rnacentral:tRNA from 1 species